rnacentral:sRNA from 12 species
CCCUUGGAGCGUUAUACCAAACGAAAGUAGCUAGACUAUUUUAUAGCAGUAAAAUCGGGCGCGAUGAAUAGGGAA